CUUAGCUUCAGUGUUUGUUUAAAUUUAAAAAAAAAAGUUUUUUUUUAGUAGUCCCUCUACAUUGUGUUUAAAAAAAUGUGAAAAAGAAACACAACAAAUCGACGUCCAAAUAUAAACUUAAUUUUGGUUGAGGAAAUCACCUAACGAAGUCAAGACUAGAGAUGGGUACCAAGGCCAUGCAUCACGGAUAAUGAUUGGAUUCGCCCCGCCUACGUCAUCAAUCACUAGAAACGAGUGACGCCGAGUGGGUGGCAGCCCUGACCAACAAUGAUCGUGUAAUAUGGUGUACAGAGCAAAGAAGAAUUUUAGAAGACACUAUUCCAUGAGAAGACUAAUAAACAAUCUUGUGACGCAUUUUACUGAUCUAUUGAAAAGGAGUUAUGUAUGGCAAACCUUCAAAAUUUUAGGAUUAAUUUUUAUUUAAAUUAUAAAAUUAUUGAUAUUCAUCAGCUGUAAAUUUAAGAGUACGUAUGAAACAAAGAGGUUUAAAAUUGUUUGUAAAUAGUAAACAAUAAAACAAAGACAUUUGUUUGUUUAUUACACUUUAUCAUUCCACUUGUAAUUCUUUUUAACUACAAUAUAUUUAAUUUAUCCGUACAUAUAAACGCAAUCGAUAAAUCAUAUUUAAAUAGUUAUUUUUACUUU